AUUGAACGCUGGCGGCAGGCCUAACACAUGCAAGUCGAACGGUAACAGGAAGAAGCUUGCUUCUUUGCUGACGAGUGGCGGACGGGUGAGUAAUGUCUGGGAAACUGCCUGAUGGAGGGGGAUAACUACUGGAAACGGUAGCUAAUACCGCAUAACGUCGCAAGACCAAAGAGGGGGACCUUCGGGCCUCUUGCCAUCGGAUGUGCCCAGAUGGGAUUAGCUUGUUGGUGAGGUAACGGCUCACCAAGGCGACGAUCCCUAGCUGGUCUGAGAGGAUGACCAGCCACACUGGAACUGAGACACGGUCCAGACUCCUACGGGAGGCAGCAGUGGGGAAUAUUGCACAAUGGGCGCAAGCCUGAUGCAGCCAUGCCGCGUGUAUGAAGAAGGCCUUCGGGUUGUAAAGUACUUUCAGCGGGGAGGAAGGGAGUAAAGUUAAUACCUUUACUCAUUGACGUUACCCGCAGAAGAAGCACCGACUAACUCCGUGCCAGCAGCCGCGGUAAUAC
rnacentral:rRNA from 1 species